rnacentral:tRNA from 1 species
UGGUCCUUAGCUCAGUUGGUAGAGCAACAGACUCAUAAUCUGUAGGUCAUCGGAUCGUAGCCGGUAGGGCCAA